UUAAGUUAGAAAGGGCGCACGGUGAAUGCCUUGGCACUAGGAGCCGAUGAAGGACGGGACUAACACCGAUAUGCUUCGGGGAGCUGUAAGUGAGCUUUGAUCCGGAGAUUUCCGAAUGGGGAAACCCACUGUUCGUAAUGGAACAGUAUCUUUAUCUGAAUACAUAGGAUAUUGAAGGCAGACCCGGGGAACUGAAACAUCUAAGUACCCGGAGGAAGAGAAAGCAAAUGCGAUUUCCUGAGUAGCGGCGAGCGAAACGGAAUUAGCCCAAACCAAGAGGCUUGCCUCUUGGGGUUGUAGGACACUCUAUACGGAGUUACAAAGGAACGAAGUAAAUGAAGCGACCUGGAAAGGUCCGUCGAAGAAGGUAACAACCCUGUAGUUGAAACUUCGUUCCCUCUUGAGUGGAUCCUGAGUACGGCGGAACACGUGAAAUUCCGUCGGAAGCUGGGAGGACCAUCUCCCAAGGCUAAAUACUACCUAGUGACCGAUAGUGAACCAGUACCGUGAGGGAAAGGUGAAAAGCACCCCGGAAGGGGAGUGAAAGAGAUCCUGAAACCGUGUGCCUACAAGUAGUCAGAGCCCGUUAACGGGUGAUGGCGUGCCUUUUGUAGAAUGAACCGGCGAGUUACGAUCCCAUGCAAGGUUAAGCUGAUAAGGCGGAGCCGUAGCGAAAGCGAGUCUGAAUAGGGCGUUUAGUAUGUGGUUGUAGACCCGAAACCAGGUGAUCUACCCAUGUCCAGGGUGAAGUUCAGGUAACACUGAAUGGAGGCCCGAACCCACGCACGUUGAAAAGUGCGGGGAUGAGGUGUGGGUAGCGGAGAAAUUCCAAUCGAACCUGGAGAUAGCUGGUUCUCUCCGAAAUAGCUUUAGGGCUAGCCUCAUGUUGUGAGAGUCUUGGAGGUAGAGCACUGAUUGGACUAGGGGCCCCCAACGGGUUACCGAAUUCAGUCAAACUCCGAAUGCCAAAGACUUAUCCAUGGGAGUCAGACUGCGAGUGAUAAGAUCCGUAGUCAAAAGGGAAACAGCCCAGACCACCAGCUAAGGUCCCCAAGUAUACGUUAAGUGGAAAAGGAUGUGGAGUUGCUUAGACAACCAGGAUGUUGGCUUAGAAGCAGCCACCAUUUAAAGAGUGCGUAAUAGCUCACUGGUCGAGUGACUCUGCGCCGAAAAUGUACCGGGGCUAAACGUAUCACCGAAGCUGUGGAUUGACAUCUUUGAUGUCAGUGGUAGGAGAGCGUUCUAAGUGCUGUGAAGUCAGACCGUAAGGACUGGUGGAGCGCUUAGAAGUGAGAAUGCCGGUAUGAGUAGCGAAAGACAAGUGAGAAUCUUGUCCACCGAAUGCCUAAGGUUUCCUGAGGAAGGCUCGUCCGCUCAGGGUUAGUCGGGACCUAAGCCGAGGCUGAAAAGCGUAGGCGAUGGCCAACAGGUUGAUAUUCCUGUACCACCUCCCCGCCGUUUGAGUAAUGGGGGGACGCAGUAGGAUAGGGUAAGCGCGCUGCUGGAUAUGCGCGUUCAAGCAGUUAGGCUGAUGAGUAGGCAAAUCCGCUCAUCAUAAAGGCUGAGCUGUGAUGACGAGGGAAUUAUAGUACCGAAGUUCCUGAUUCCACACUGCCAAGAAAAGCCUCUAGCGAGGCGGGAGGUGCCCGUACCGCAAACCGACACAGGUAGGCGAGGAGAGAAUCCUAAGGUGAUCGAGAGAACUCUCGUUAAGGAACUCGGCAAAAUGACCCCGUAACUUCGGGAGAAGGGGUGCUCUGGUAGGGUGUAUAGCCCGAGAGAGCCGCAGUGAAUAGGCCCAGGCGACUGUUUAGCAAAAACACAGGUCUCUGCGAAGCCGCAAGGCGAAGUAUAGGGGCUGACGCCUGCCCGGUGCUGGAAGGUUAAGAGGAGGGGUUAUCCUUUGGGAGAAGCUCUGAAUUGAAGCCCCAGUAAACGGCGGCCGUAACUAUAACGGUCCUAAGGUAGCGAAAUUCCUUGUCGGGUAAGUUCCGACCCGCACGAAAGGCGUAACGAUCUGGGCACUGUCUCAACGAGAGACUCGGUGAAAUUAUAGUACCUGUGAAGAUGCAGGUUACCCGCGACAGGACGGAAAGACCCCGUGGAGCUUUACUGUAGCCUGAUAUUGAAUUUUGGUACAGCUUGUACAGGAUAGGUAGGAGCCUGAGAAGCCGGAGCGCUAGCUUCGGUGGAGGCGUCGGUGGGAUACUACCCUGGCUGUAUUGAAAUUCUAACCCGCGGCCCUGAUCGGGCCGGGAGACAGUGUCAGGUGGGCAGUUUGACUGGGGCGGUCGCCUCCUAAAAUGUAACGGAGGCGCCCAAAGGUUCCCUCAGAAUGGUUGGAAAUCAUUCGUAGAGUGUAAAGGCACAAGGGAGCUUGACUGCGAGACCUACAAGUCGAGCAGGGACGAAAGUCGGGCUUAGUGAUCCGGUGGUUCCGCAUGGAAGGGCCAUCGCUCAACGGAUAAAAGCUACCCCGGGGAUAACAGGCUUAUCUCCCCCAAGAGUCCACAUCGACGGGGAGGUUUGGCACCUCGAUGUCGGCUCAUCGCAUCCUGGGGCUGUAGUCGGUCCCAAGGGUUGGGCUGUUCGCCCAUUAAAGCGGUACGCGAGCUGGGUUCAGAACGUCGUGAGACAGUUCGGUCCCUAUCCGUCGUGGGCGUAGGAAAUUUGAGAGGAGCUGUCCUUAGUACGAGAGGACCGGGAUGGACACACCGCUGGUGUACCAGUUGUCUUGCCAAAGGCAUCGCUGGGUAGCUAUGUGUGGACGGGAUAAGUGCUGAAAGCAUCUAAGCAUGAAGCCCCCCUCAAGAUGAGAUUUCCCAUAGCGCAAGCUAGUAAGAUCCCUGAAAGAUGAUCAGGUUGAUAGGUCAGAGGUGGAAGCGUGGCGACAUGUGUAGCUGACUGAUACUAAUCGAUCGAGGACUUAACCAA
rnacentral:rRNA from 1 species